ACUUUGAUAGGCUACUCACGUAAUAUUCUCCAUGCAAAAUUUCAUCAAAAAGUCACUACGUAGCAUCACACAUCACAAAAGACGAAAUCCCCAAUAAGGAGAUAUUGAACGCCACUUCAACUUCUAUACAGUCUACACUGAGGAAAAGGCACUCAAUAUGUUCAUGUUGUCUGCAAGUGAUUCCAGACGUUUCAGCAUGGGCAACAUUUCACCUGUAUCACCCUUUAUUCUGUUUUGAUGGCCAUUUAUAAUUGGAGAGCAGCAUUGGAAUGCAACAGCUUGUCUGGCUUCGUCUGGUCCUAAGUUACACCAAAUAAAACACAUCACGAGUUACUUACUAAAAUCUAAACAAAUUAAGAUUAGGAUUUUUAGCUUAAAUUUCAGCUGAAGUUUUUGUGUGACCUAGGUGCUUGUGAGUUGUGACAAUAGAAAACAAAGGUAUCCAAUCCAAUAAUGCAAGCUGUGUCAUCCAAAGCAAAAUAGUUUCUACUGUCAUUUAAUGUUUAUGAUAAUAUUUCGGGUUAACUACCCCUGUCAAAUCGUGGUAAAUCUUCAAGAUAUUGAUGCCUUCCCCAGAUCCAAUUCUUUGCUGCUUUCUCUUCUCUUUUGCAGAUAAGAUCAAAAUAAUGCUACCACUCAAAAGAUUGUGGUGACUACUUAGUUCUAAUUUAGGACAAAUUAACAUUGAUAGAUUUGAGGGCGAGAUUCUCACCACCGUUAUAGUUGUUCGGAAACUGACAGCACUAACCAACGCUCACCGGUGGGCACACUGGGAUAAUUAGGAGGAUGAGGAGGGCUCUGAUGCGACUAUACAUGUACUUCCGCUGCGACACACCUCACUCACAACUGGAUUCUGCCCAGGGAAAACUGCUGGAGUAAUCUGGUGUUCAUGCUCAUUUGAUUCAUUUCGUG
rnacentral:lncRNA from 1 species